rnacentral:rRNA from 1 species
GACGAACGCUGGCGGCGCGCCUAACACAUGCAAGUCGAACGAGCGAGAGAGAGCUUGCUUUCUCAAGCGAGUGGCGAACGGGUGAGUAACGCGUGAGGAACCUGCCUCAAAGAGGGGGACAACAGUUGGAAACGACUGCUAAUACCGCAUAAGCCCACGACCCGGCAUCGGGUAGAGGGAAAAGGAGCAAUCCGCUUUGAGAUGGCCUCGCGUCCGAUUAGCUAGUUGGUGAGGUAACGGCCCACCAAGGCGACGAUCGGUAGCCGGACUGAGAGGUUGAACGGCCACAUUGGGACUGAGACACGGCCCAGACCCCUACGGGAGGCAGCAGUGGGGAAUAUUGCACAAUGGGGGAAACCCUGAUGCAGCGACGCCGCGUGGAGGAAGAAGGUCUUCGGAUUGUAAACUCCUGUUGUUGAGGAAGAUAAUGACGGUACUCAACAAGGAAGUGACGGCUAACUACGUG